AUAAACUCCUUAAUUAAUUCAUAUUCUCUACAUUUCAACAUGGCUUCCAAAACAACUCACUCCUCAGUUGCCCUUUUCCUAUCACUGAAUCUCCUCUUCUUUGCUCUUGUAACUGGACAACAAACGUGCCCAACUUUGAGACUUGGGGUAUGUGCUAGUAUACUUAACGUGGUGAAUGUAACAGUUGGGUCUCCACCAACUAUGCCAUGCUGCAGUUUGAUCCAGGGACUGACGUCAAACAAUACAUAUUUUCUAUGUUCUAAUAAGUGAACUUUGCAUAUGCAUGUUCAUUAGUUCUGUUGUCAUCAAUUGCUUAGUAUUUAUGACAAUCUUAUUCAUCAAUUUUUUUUUUAUAAAACUUUGUAGUUAGUAGUAUAUUUUUGUCACUGAAAAGGCUAUUAUUGUCCAUUAAAUUAACUUGUCACUAAAUAUUUCAUAUGUUUUGUAGUCAAACAAAAGUAGUUUCGUCAUUGAAGGCAAUCUUUUAUAUACGAAAGGAUAUUUUGUCCCCAAUUAUAUAAAUUACUAACGAUUUUGCUUUUACAAAAUUGAUUUAUAAUUUUGUAAUUAAAACCUAUCAUGUUGUCACCAAAAAUAUUGGUUUAAUGACACAACAAAAUUGUCACUAAACCUUAUCGUGAUUAGUGACAAUGACAGUUAUGAUAAAAUACAAAUUUAAUUUGUAGUUAAAAAUGAAUUAUCUUAUCAUAGAGAAAAUUCUAAGACAAAUAUUUUGUGACAAAUGUAGUUAUCUUUACGAAACUGAAAAGUAAAUGAAAUCCUCCGGAAGCAAGGAGGCUUACCAUAGCUAAUUGGAACCAACGAAACGCCUGUUGAUGAUCCUGAAUACUUGUAUCUGCAUUAUGAAAUGUUGCAGGUCAAAUGGUCAGUAUGUGGAAUGUACGGGCAUGUAAGGGAAAUUCUAAAGCAUAAACAUAAGCUUGAACUUGAUAAAAAGGAAACAUACUUACCUCCUCUCAACUCACUCAACUCAACUCACGAAUAAGAUACUCAACUCAAGAUAAAUCAACAAUAAAAGAUGUAAUAUAUAGAAAACUUUUAAAACAGUACAUAACAACUCAAUGUAUUGAAGAAGACAAUAACAACUCAAUUUGUAUAUAUGAAUAAAAUAUAAAUCUGUGGGAGAUUCUCUAACCGACAACCAUCACUAUGAGCUAUGUAAUGAUACAACAUCUCGCCCACGCUACCAGAACUGUCCUAUACUUUGCNNNNNNNNNNNNNNNNNNNNNNNNNNNNNNNNNNNNNNNNNNNNNNNNNNNNNNNNNNNNNNNNNNNNNNNNNNNNNNNNNNNNNNNNNNNNNNNNNNNNNNNNNNNNNNNNNNNNNNNNNNNNNNNNNNNNNNNNNNNNNNNNNNNNNNNNNNNNNNNNNNNNNNNNNNNNNNNNNNNNNNNNNNNNNNNNNNNNNNNNNNNNNNNNNNNNNNNNNNNNNNNNNNNNNNNNNNNNNNNNNNNNNNNNNNNNNNNNNNNNNNNNNNNNNNNNNNNNNNNNNNNNNNNNNNNNNNNNNNNNNNNNNNNNNNNNNNNNNNNNNNNNNNNNNNNNNNNNNNNNNNNNNNNNNNNNNNNNNNNNNNNNNNNNNNNNNNNNNNNNNNNNNNNNNNNNNNNNNNNNNNNNNNNNNUUGGUUUCUUCAAGAAUCAAGUGUCUUCCUCUCCAUAGACCUAUAGAUAUACUUAGCUAAAUGUUUUCUUGAAGGAAAAAGUAUUGUUCUUGGAGAAUAAAGAAGGGCAGGGGCUGGUUUUCUUUGAUAUAUAGGUAUGAAUCCUCUUCUAUCUUCAUAAAUAGUAUUCCAAGGAUGCUUUAAGUAUAAUUUGCGGGUAGGACUCAUGGGACGGUGAUAGGAAGCCGUGAGUCCAUGUUUUACAUAUUGUAUUUGAUGUUUUGGUGAGGAGGGAGUUUGUAGAAGGUUGUGUUGGCUGUUGUUUUGACCAAAUGAGGGGUCAAUGGUAUUGUAUUGGGGAACUAAUCUGGUUACAUUAAAAUGGAAGGCGAGGUAUAGAGAAUGCGACUAUUAUAGUUCUUGAAACUUUGUCACUCACCAAGUGUUUGAUGAAAUUCCUAAGUCGCUAAGAAUAUGUUGUAGCUGAUUAUAUGAGCUCCUAUUAUUUUAAUUUAUGGCAUUAGUUCUCUACCAAUUUAAACUAUGAGCUUAUAAAGGAAUUUGACAUCGUUAACAAGGAACCGGUGGGAUGGUGAUCGGAGGCCAUGAGUUUUACUUUUAUGUUAAGUGUGGAUGAUUAAAGGGGCUGGUUCUUUAUGGUUAAAGGAUGAGGAGUAAUACUGAACAUGUAAAUAAGUCAUAAGCCUAUUUGGAAAGUAGAGAAAGCGAAGGGUGUGGUGAUACACCACUCAUCUAUGGUAAUUGUUGGGAUUGUCGCUCGCGAACCAUUAUUGUGUUUUUGGCAUUGUUGUGACUCUUGAUUAGUUUCUUCUACUAUCCUUUUAUGAUUUUAUGUUAUAGAUAAAGUUGUCAGCAAAGGAGUUUGACGACGUAAGAUAGUAAGUCCCGAAUUAAGGUAUGUAAAGCUAAAACCUCUUUUGCCCUUAAGGCAUGACCUAAACUCGCAUGUUGUUCCGAUAAAUGUCACUAUAGAUUCUAUGAUACUUGAAAGAAAGUUAUCCUAUUUUAUAAACCCUCUCAUGUUGAGUCCUAAACCUAUAGAGUUAUAGUACUCUUCAAGGAAGCACUAUGUUUCACAUAACUACAUUUGUCUACAGUUGAAACUCUUAGAAGUUAGCGGUGUACAUGUUGCAUAAAUUUAAAGAAAGCAACCAGCCACAGACUGUUCGUAAGUGCAUAGGUCACAAGAUAUAUGAUUCUCAAGAUAAAGAAUGUAAUCACGGAUUGUAUCACAAGCUAUGUGAUUAAUGAAUUAAUUAUGAUAUACAAUUGCAAGCAGUUGAGACUAUAGACUACUCUGCAGCGUAGGUGGGUAUAUUUAGGGCUACUACGUGCGACGCUACUCUGUGCAUAAAAUUCAGAUAUAGUCAACUGGAAUUUCCCGUCGUGGAUUCACCUAACUGAUACAGGCCUGCGGGCAAUCCAUACAGGAGGUUGCAUGGGGUUCAUUUGUCUAUCAUCUCAGAUNNNNNNNNNNNNNNNNNNNNNNNNNNNNNNNNNNNNNNNNNNNNNNNNNNNNNNNNNNNNNNNNNNNNNNNNNNNNNNNNNNNNNNNNNNNNNNNNNNNNAGUUAUGGUUGUGAAGCUUGUGGAAUGAUCUUUCCACAUCCACUGAGUUUGCUCAAUUCUGAGUUCGUAUGAGCGAGUUAUCGCCAUUGCAAUUUGGGGAGUUGGCAGGGGAUCCAUCCGGGAAUUUAAGGGCAUUUUGGUCUUUUCACAAAUCAUUUCUUUUGAGGUUAUAUUGUAGUGUUGGACUGAUUGUGGAUCAUUUUUGUCCCAUUUUAAGAGAGAGAGAGAGAGAGAGUUAGGGCUUGAGAGAAGAAAAAGAGAAAGAGAAGAUCAAGCAAGGAGUUUCCGUCAAGGAUCCUCGUGGAUAUCGUCGGGGGUGAUCCCUAUCAAGGUAUGUUAGCUUUUAGUGUUGGGUGAUCCUUUCCCCCACACACCUAGCCUCUUUUAUUUAUUGAGAAAGGAUUGGUUAUGUUGUUAAAGUUGUUAGUUGUUGAAAUUAUUGUUGGUGGUGGGACAUGAUUGGGUUGUGUAUUUGUGUUGUAAUCUAGUGUAUGUGGAGAGAUUGAUGAUCCUUAGUGUUUGGGGUUAAAUCCAUUGGAAUAAGGAUGGUUUAGAGUUGAAGAAAAAGGGAAGAAAAGUCGAGUUUCUGGGCAAGGGGGUUGGCGCGUCGCGCCUCCCAGCGCGCCCCAAAGAGGUCUCUGAAGUCUAGCCCUUGGGGCGGCGCGCCACUCAGAGCGCCAGCAGGUGCCCUAUGAAUUUCAAGGGUUGGCGCUCCGCGCCUUGUAGAGCGCCAUGUUCCCUCAUUCUUUCCAUGCUUUCUCAUGCAUGUUCCUAGGUAUUACACCUAUGUUUCUAAGUUGUUUCCAACACUUCAAGUUGCGUUUAAAUGUCAAGAAUUCAUCCGUAAACGUGUGAUCAUAUGCCUUGAAUCCAUAAUCCAAUUCAAGUCGAGUUAGUAUCAAAGUUAAAGAGAAGUUAGAGUCAAGUCAAGCAAGGUCAAGAAGUAAGUUCUAGCAAGUUUUCAAACUUGUUCAAGAGUCUUUAUUGAACGUUUUCAAUUCAUUCUAUGGCUCAAGUUGCAAGUCAAGUAAAGAGUAAAGAGUCAAGAGUUUUUAAGUUGAGUAAAGAGCAUAAAGUUGAGUUCAUUUCUCAAAGUUAUUAAGGAACUAUGUAUUCCCAAAGAAGUUUUAAAGAAAUGUUUUUACAUUUAAACAAGGUUGGAAACUGAGAUUUCCAAAGAGCCUUCGGGGCUAGUUUUUGAGUAAUUAUCUCAAUCAGCAGGAAAAACAUAUGUUUUAAAAACAUAAGAGCCAGUACAUUUUUGGGAGUAGUAUCGAGCACCAAAUUGGGGGAGCGUUCAAAGAACCCACAACCCCCAUAGAACCAUGUUAGCCACCAUGGGUAGAAAAGGAUAAUACUUUUUAGAUUAAUCCUUUUCAAAUCAGACUAGUAGAUCCAUUAGGCAGUUCAGGUCCUAUACCUUUGGCCGGGAAUAGGAUGCUCUGGCAGCGUGAGGUCGAUCGCUGUAUUAUCACUAUAGCUCUUGUGUGAUGGUUGUCGAUUAGAGAAACUCCCACAACAGUUAUUGUAUUUUCAUACACAGAAAGGUAUAGGAUGGUCCUUGGGCAACGUGAGGUAAAAUGUUGUACCACCACUAGGGCUCAUAGUGGUGGUUGACGGUUAAAGAAUCUCCCACUAAAGUUAUAUUACUUUUAUAUAAGUAAAGUUAAGUUUGUUAUUGCCUUAAUCAUGAAUGAACUAAGUUGUUUACAAUGAUUUAAAAGCUUUAUAUUGCAUGUGUCCUAUUAACUUAUAUAUAUUGAGUUCAGUUAUUCAUGAGUCGUACAGAGCCAAGGUAAGAGUUCAUUUGUAUUCUUUUCAAGCUUAAGUUGUGGUUUAGCUUUCCAGCUCGCAUACUCGUACAUUCCUUGUACAGAUGCCAUUUGGCCUGCAUCUUGUUAUGAUGCAGACACAGGUACCCAGGAUCAGCAUCCAGCACGCCGUUGAUCCAGCGGAGCACUUCAGAGUCAGUGGUGAGCCUCCUUGCUUUCCGGAUGACUUGAUUAUUUUGUUCUCUUUGUUUUGUUUUAUUAGGAUGUUGCGGGGUCUGUCCCAACAUCCAUCUCAGUAUUAUAGAGGCUUCAUAGACAGUCAGUCAGUUAGUUUUGAGUCUCUCAUCUAUGUAUAUAUAUAUAUAAUAUUCUAUUUGGAGAAUCGAGUUGCCUUUUUGGCCAGAUUUUGUCAAUUGGUUGUUUUUAUAAAGUUUCAUUGCAUUGAGUUGUGCUGUUGACUUAAGUUUCCGCUGAGUUAAGAAAGCCAGGUCAAGGGUUCGCUUGGGGCCAGCAAUGGUCUCCGAGUGCCGGUCCCGCCCAGGGUAUAGGCUCGGGGUGUGACAACAACAAAAUCGAGCAAUGUAAAAACUAACUUGUAAUUUUUUUUAUAUUGAACCUUACACCUUUAACAAAAAUCAUCCAAUUUUGUGAAUGAUCAGCCAUUAAAGUAGUUUGAGAAACAACAAAAUCUAACAGUGUAAAACCUAAGUUGUAAAACUUUUUAAUAUUGAACUUACAACAAUAUGAACUCUAUCUCAUAUAGAUGAAAGGAUGAAAACCAAGAUACAUGAGAAUAAUGAAACAAUAAUAACAAACUUCUAUGAUAUAAAUAUUAAAAGCUGUAAUAUAUAUGUAAUUAUUUUAAACUAAAGAUAAAAUAAGUAUAUAUGAUAGUAAUGUAUGUCUAGUUAUGUUGAAUUUCGACGUGUUUGACCCAUGAAAAAGAAUCAGGUCCACAUAAAAGGGACGUGUUGAGAAUACAAUUAAAGAAUAAAAUGUGUUCUCUCUAACAACUUACUUAGACUUUUAGAUGAGAUGAUCACAUUCUAAUUACUACUACUUAAUGCUUAACUCAUUAACAUUUUCAACAUCUUGUGACUCAUGCAUUACCAAUUAAUCAACAGCAGACAAUAAUUGACUUUGCAUAUGCUACUAAAACUAGUAUUUAAUUUGAAGUGAUAAUAUCUAUCGUACAUUUACUGUUAAGUGCUACAGUGGCCUUGUGAUAAUUUAGUAUAAAUAUCCAUCGUCAGAAGUUAGUAACACAUCAUCUUAAGAAUUAUAAACUCCUUAAUUAAUUCAUAUUCUCUACAUUUCAACAUGGCUUCCAAAACAACUCACUCCUCAGUUACCCUUUUCCUAUCACUGAAUCUCCUCUUCUUUGCUCUUGUAACUGGACAACAAACGUGCCCAACUUUGAGACUUGGGGUAUGUGCUAGUAUACUUAACGUGGUGAAUGUAACAGUUGGGUCUCCACCAACUAUGCCAUGCUGCAGUUUGAUCCAGGGACUGACGGACCUAGAGGCCGCGGCUUGCUUGUGCGCUGCCAUAAGAGCAAAUGUUUUGGGAAUAAUUACUCUGAAUCCGACAGUCCCUAUUAACCUCAUUCUCAGCGCCUGUGGAAGGAGCCUUCCUGCUGACUUCACUUGUUAAACUACCCUCCUAAUAAAUAAAUAAAUGUCUCGUCGUGCUUAAUUAUUAAUUAGUAUGAAUUAAUGGUGCACGUAUGAUCGAUCCUUUUUAUUAGUUGAAAUAAGUGAACUUUGUAUAGGCAAGUUCAUCAGUUAUGUCGUGUGUGAACAUGUUUCUCAUCUUCUUAUGUUACUGAAAUAUCGAAUCAAUAAAUAAAAGUGGUGUUUAUUACCUAUCUAUGCUUUUCGUAAAAUUAAAUUGAUACUAUGUUAUGUAAUCAUUUUUUUUUUACUUUCACGUCAAACAAUACAUAUUUUCUAUGUUCUAAUAAGUGAACUUUGCAUAUGCAUGUUCAUUAGUUCUGUUGUCAUCAAUUGCUUAGUAUUUAUGACAAUCUUAUUCAUCAAUUUUUUUUUUGUAAAACUUUGUAGUUAGUAGUAUAUUUUUGUCACUGAAAAGGCUAUUAUUGUCCAUAAAAUUAACUUGCCACUAAAUAUUUAUUUAAUUAAUGAUGAUAUCAAUUGUCUCUAAAGUUUCAUAUGUUUUGUAGUCAAACAAAAGUAGUUUCAUCAUUGAAGGCAAUCUUUUAUAUACGAAAGGAUAUUUUGUCCCCAAUUAUAUAAAUUACUAACGAUUUUGCUUUUACAAAAUUGAUUUAUAAUUUUGUAAUUAAAACCUAUCAUGUUGUCACAAAAAAUAUUGGUUUUAAUGACACAACAUAAUUGUCACUAAACCUUAUCGUGAUUAGUGACAAUGACAGUUAUGAUAAAAUACAAAUUUAAUUUGUAGUUAAAAAUGAAUUAUCUUAUCAUAGAGAAAAUUCUAAGACAAAUAUUUUGUGACAAAUGUAGUUAUCGAUAUACUUUCUCAUAUACUCAAGAACGUGUAAGGACUGGUUUCAAGUUAUUUCUUCAAGUUUUUCUCAUCUUCAAUCCACCAAAGCUUAAGGUAAGUUGGUUUCUUCAAGAAUCAAGUGUCUUCCUCUCCAUAGACCUAUAGAUAUACUUAGCUAAAUGUUUUCUUGAAGGAAAAAGUAUUGUUCUUGGAUAAUAAAGAAGGGUAGGGGUUGCUUUUCUUUGAUAUAUAGGUAUGAAUCCUCUUCUAUCUUCAUAAAUAGUAUUCCAAGGAUGCUUUAAGUAUAAUUUGCGGGUAGGACUCACGGGAAGGUGAUAGAAAGCCGUGAGUCCAUGUUUUACACAUUGUAUUUGAUGUUUUGGUGAGGAGGGAGUUUGUAGAAGGUUGUGUUGGCUGUUGUUUUGCCCAAAUGAGGGGUCAAUGGUAUUGUAUUGAGGAAGUAAUCUGGUUACAUUAAAAUGGAAGGCGAGGUAUAGAGAAUGCGACUAUUAUAGUUCUUGAAACUUUGUCACUCACCAAGUGUUUGAUGAAAUUCCUAAGUCGCUAAGAAUAUGUUUUAGCUGAUUAUAUGAGAUCCUAUUAUUUUAAUUUAUGGCAUUAGUUCUCUACCAACUUAAACUAUGAGCUUAUAAAGGAAUUUGACAUCGUUAACAAGGAACCGGUGGGAUGGUGAUCGGAGGCCAUGAGUUUUACUUUUAUGUUAAGUGUGGAUGAUUAAGGGGGCUGGUUCUUUAUGGUUAAAGGAUGAGGAGUAAUACUGAACAUGUAAAUAAUUCAUAAGCCUAUUUGGAAAGUAGAGAAAGAGAAGAGUGUGGUGAUACACCACUCAUCUAUGGUAAUUGUUGGGAUUGUCACUCGCGAACCAUUAUUGUGUUUUUGGUAUUGUUGUGACUCUUGAUUAGUUUCUUCUACUAUCCUUUUAUGAUUUUAUGUUAUAGAUAAAGUUGUCAGCAAAGGUGUUUGACGACGUAAGAUAGUAAGUCCCGAAUUAAGGUACGUAAAGCUAAAACCUCUUUUGCCCUUAAGGCAUGACCUAAACUCGCAUGUUGUUCCGAUAAAUGUCACUAUAGAUUCUAUGAUACUUGAAAGAAAGUUAUCCUAUUUUAUAAAUCCUCUCAUGUUGAGUCCUAAACCUAUAUAGUUAUAGUACUCUUCAAGGAAGCACUAUGUUUCACAUAACGACAUUUGCCUACAGUUGGAACUCUUAGAAGUUAGCGGUGUACAUGUUGCAUAAAUUUAAAGAAAGCAACUAGCCACAGACUGUUCCUAAGUGCAUAGGUCACAAGAUAUAUGAUUAUCAAGAUAAAGAAUGUAAUCACGGAUUGUAUCACGAACUAUGUGAUUAAUGAAUUAAUUAUUAUAUACAAUUGCAAGCAGUUGAGACUAUAGACUACUCUGCAGCGUAGGGUGGGUAUAUUUAGGGCUACUACGUGCGACGCUACUCUGUGCAUAAAAUUCAGAUAUAGUCAGCUGGAAUUUUCCGUCGUGGAUUCACCUGACUGAUACAGGCCUGCGGGGAAACCAUACAGGAGCCAUGGGGGCAUACCUUGAUAAACCUCAUUACCAGACUAUGAGAUUUCACACGUGGUCAUGAUAGUGGGCUACAGAUGCCAUACAGGGUCCACUAAUCGCCGUAAGUAGGCCAUCAUGUGAUUCACUGACAGUUAGUUUUACAAAGAGCAAAAAAGCGAUAUAAUGAAGUAAAGAUAUCACUUAGGCAAAUUAUAGGGAUUAUAUAUAUAUAUAUAUAUAAAUGACUAAGCCAUGAAAUGUUCGAUGUGGACCCUUGAGGUUGGUCACAAUUCCAGUUAUAGAUUAUGUCUCCUUCAUACACAUGCUCAGAUGUGCCUAUCAUGAUAUUUGAUGUCUACUUGUUAUUCAGUUUGCUUUACAUACCAGUACAUGUUUUGUAUGUAUUGACGUCCCUAUUAUUUUGGCGUUUCAUUUGUAUCACUACAGGCUCAGGUACUCAGGACAACAAGCAUUUUCAGUAGACUAGAGACUUCCAGUUUAGCAGUUGGUAAGCUCCACCUCUACUUGGAGCUAUCAGAUAUUUAGAGCCUAUAUUUUGCUACGUUUGUACAUAUAUCAGAAUGGGUAUGUCGGGGCCCUGUCCCGAGUAGUUAUCAGAUUUUCAGAGGCAUACUCUUUAGAGGCUUCUUAGACUUAGUCUUGUUUCCAUUGUAAAGUAGCCCAAAUGGCCCUUUUGUUAUCUAUGUUUUAGAAUGUGUCUUCAUAUAGGUUCUGCUGCUUAUGAAUCUUCAGCUUUGACAUGAGAUUAGUAAGAUAUUUAGCAGGUGCUUGUGUAUAUCCUUGAUGUCUGCACCUUUCUAGUUAGGGGUGUGACAUAAGUGGAUCCACUAGUGUAUGCUAAAAAGCAUUAAGGAGCAAUUAACAGGCAUAUAUAACACAACGGGAAGUUGAACCAUCACAUACCUCGAAACCAAGCCUGGACACUCCUCAGACAUUUGGGCCUUCCCUUUCCGGAGUCUUUCGGCUUGUUCUUGGUCUAAAACAAUUAAUUAACGCAAAGAUCAAUAAACAAGGCUUAAAUUACCCGGAUUAUAACAAAAUAUCAACCCAAGGACAAACCCAUGAUCCUAAUGCUCAACUAGGUCUUUUCCUACCAUUAACUUUAGGCCAAAACCCUCUCCCAACGAUAAUUCACAAGGAUUCUAAGUUCUAAGAAUCGAAAUACGGAUUAGGGGAGUAAUUAACUUACCUUUGGCGCGAGAAUUCCGGGAAAUUUGAUGAGAAACUUCCCUAGGUCACCCCUUAGCUCUUAAGAACGAGAUUUUGUAGAAAAUAACAUUUUUGGGGUAUUUUCCCGGUUUAAGUCGCAACUGUCCCGCCACUGUGGGUCCCACCCCGCCACAGCGGCCCCGCCCUGGCAGAAUUAAUCCCGCCCCAGCGGCUUGCACAGAGACAAAAACUCCGAAUUUGAGUUCAAGCUCCCAUUUCGCAACACACCUUAAAACCUUGACGUUCUAAAACUACCCUUUCACGCCAAGAUUAGUUUUGGGAGUUCUACUCGCCCGAAUUCAAUUUCGUAAAGCCAUACAUGCUUCUUAACAUCUUGGCUAUUCACUCAUAUGAUCAAACUCAUAAUUAAUUCCCCCAUCCAUUACCGGAUUUCCUAGACCUCACCUGACUCAGAUUUCAUCCAAGUCUAGCCUAGGCGAGAAAUUUCCAAGUUACUACUCAGAAGUUUUCUGGUCCAAAUUCCUUUCCCAUUGGCUUUUCCAUUACGAAGGGAACAUGUCGUUACAUAAAAUUUAAAUUUUAUGAUGGUCAAUGAUCUCAAAUUGAAAAAAAGAGAGAACAUAAAGGUUUGUAUGACUUUUCGUUAUAAAUUAUUAAGUUACGUACCAAAAAUCAACACCUCUAUCCUAAAGGUCUCUAGAUAAUGAUAGAUUAACUUAUACUAGUGUUAGUUAUCUAUCUCUCUCUUUGUUAAUAUGGAUCCAUUUUGGAUUCAACUCUAUGGCUUAGUAUGAAGGAAAAUAAAUAUAUUCACGUAAAAUGUUUAUUUUUAAAAUAAGUGAAUUUCUUACUUAUUUUUUAAUAUUUAUAAAAAAAGUAAAAGAUUAUUAUUCCAAAAGCAUUUAUAUAUUAUCUAGCAAAAUAUUAUGCAAGUGGGUAAAAAUGGAGAGUGUGGUUUCGGGGGUGGCGGUCUGGCGAAAGGUGGGAUGGUCAAAGAGUGAGGAUUGGAUGGGUUAGGUGGAUGGAGAUCAGGAGACAAUAAACUUGGAACAUCACUUAUGCAACUUAUUUUCUCUACUUUUAUUAGAAAAAUCAUUUUCCUCAUUUUUAAUGAGCUUAUUUAACAAAACAUAAAAAAUAUUUUAUUCCGUACCAAACACACCCUAGUAUUUAAAGGUACCGGAGUAUUUUGUAUAACGAUGAGUUUUUCAUCCUUCAUGUAACUCAAGUUGAAUAAGAAAAAAAUUCAAUUUAUCGGCUAUAUUUUUACUUUGCUCUAAUCAAUAUAUUAGGAGCGUACUAGCCUAACCGUAGCUUAAUAAAUAAAAAACGGAAGUCCACUUUAGCGAUUAUUUUUUUUAAUCCGCUAGGCGAAGUACUUAGGGCUAGUUUUUUUUAUUAACAAAUAAAGAUAGAAACCUUCAAAGAGAAGAGUACAAGCAAAGGGGGCUAGACCUUAUCUUAGUGAUCCUAUUGCCAUAAUAAAUCUCUACUACUUAACAAGCAUGAAGAAAAUAAAAGCUAGAGAAAACUAGGUAUUCUAUGAUCAUAAUAAAGUUUAUAGUAUUCUCUAUAUUAAUGAUAUUACAAAUGAAGAUACUUAAGUAAUGCAUGAAUAUAAAAGUCAAGAAUAAGAUUGAGUUACAGCCUCACACUUCAAUUUAUAUAUGUAUGAACUAAAAAAAAUAGUUUACCCGUCUAAAGUAACCUGGAGUAUUUUCUUCUUGUCUUCUUCUUCAAAUAUGUCCUACAACACUUGAUAGUUCAUCAAUUCUUCUUACAUUUAUUGGAUCUUGUUAAAGUUAUUGACAAUGUCAUAACAUUUUGCUUUACUAUGAAAAUUGAAUCCUUUUCACCACUCUGCCAAGGGUCACACUUGUGUUAGUGAGUUCAAAAGUUAAUAUAUACAUAUAAAAUUUUAAAAACUGAUCAAAUAUAUAUAUAUAUAUACGGUGUUAUUUUUCAACGAAGUGGGUUCAUAUGAACCCACUUGACCCUCUGUAGGUCCGCCCCUGGUCUCGCCGGCAAGAAGAGCGGUGGCGGCGACGAUUUUCGCCCGUGGAUUUUGGAUGUUACUAGGGUGAAAUAAGGAGACCACUACAUCAAUAUAUAUCUAAUCUUAUAAAGUUUUAUUUAAAGGAUUCAAUAUAUAUAUAUAUCUUAGAGAAAAAAAAUUAAACUCAUUUAAUCAACAUCACCUAAAGUUUAUUAAAAAGAAGGGUAAACUACAUAAAUCUCGUUAGUUUAGAUCCUAAUUACCAGGAUUCACAAUAGUUUAGAAUAUUACUUUCUAUACCAUAUUUUAGCUUUUGGAUACAUGUAUUAUUACUCGUCAGAUACAUGUAUCCGUCAGUUUUAAAAGUCGAGAUAUACGAUUUAUUAGUUUGAAUUAAAGUGGUGUAACUUAUUUCCUUAAUUAAAGAAGUAAUUGAUGAAUAGUUAAGAAUUUAAACGGAUUUACAACAUCAUUUCGGUAUCAAUUUUAACAAUAUUUUCCUAAAAUAGCGAAAUCAUAAAAUAAUAAUAAUUCUCUAAUUGUAAACUUCAUCUUCUUUGCAACAUCUUUUUAAGAUUAAUGAUCUUAGAUUUAUGAUUAAUGAUUUUGUUGGCACGUAUCUUAAUGUUGUUAUCAUGUAUCUCAGAAACAUAUACAAUGUAUAUCUUCUCAAUAGUAAUGAAAUUAGAUGUAAGAGUAAUGAUGUUAUUAUCAUGUAUCUUAGUCCUAUAGCGUGUAACUUUAACGAAUAAUGUAGAUCAAUAUUGUUGCACGUGAUGUGUAUCUCAAACAAAUAAUAUGUAUCGCUUGUUGCACUUGAUGUGUAUCUGGGUGUAAUGGUGUAUCUGUUAUGUUAAAUAAAGUUUGACGUAAUUCUUCCAUUUUGAUUGGGUCGUUCCUAUACUUAGAUCUAUUCUUGACUUGAAUGUUGGCGGAUGAAAAGUCAAACCCUGCAAUGACAAAUUCAUGAAUGAAAAAUAAACAAAUAAAAUGUGUUUGAUUUGUUAUAUUAUUGUUAAUGUGUUGUACCUUUAACAAGAAUCAUCCGAUUUUGUGAAUGGUCAGCGACUCAGUGCCAUUAAAGUAGUUUGAGAAACAACAAAAUCAAGCAAUGUAAACACUAAUUUGUAAUUUUUUUUAUAUUGAACUUUACACCUUUAACAAAAAUCAUCCGAUUUUGUGAAUGAUUAGCCAUUAAAGUAAUUUGAGAAACAACAAAAUCAAACAGUGUAAACCCUAAUUUGUAAAACUUUUUAAUAUUGAACUUACAACAAUAUGAACUCUAUCUCAUAUAGAUGAAGGGAUGAAAACCAAGAUACAUGACAAUAAUGAAACAAUAAAAACAAACUUCUAUGAUAUAAAUAUUAAAAGUUGUAAUAUAUAUGGAUAAGGGUCUAAAAAAUACCCCAACUUUGGUCGGAUUUGCUGUUGCGAUACUAAACUUUCAUGAGGACCUAUUACCUCCUUAGACUAUUUAAUACCGUAUUUUUUACCCCCUGAACUAUUUAAUAGUGUAUUUUAAAGGUAUAUAUCUGCCCACGUGGACACAUUAUUAUUUAUAAUUUUGCAUUAUUUUUUAUGUCCACGUGNNNNNNNNNNNNNNNNNNNNNNNNNNNNNNNNNNNNNNNNNNNNNNNNNNNNNNNNNNNNNNNNNNNNNNNNNNNNNNNNNNNNNNNNNNNNNNNNNNNNNNNNNNNNNNNNNNNNNNNNNNNNNNNNNNNNNNNNNNNNNNNNNNNNNNNNNNUAAUAUAUAUGUAAUUAUUUUAAACUAAAAAUAAGAUAAGUAUAUAUGAUAGUAAUGUAUGUCUAGUUAUAUUGAAUUUCGACGUGUUUGACCCAUGAAAAAGAAUUAGGCGCACAUAAGAGGGACGUGUUGAGAAUACAAUUAAAGAAUAAAAUGUGUUCUCUCUAACAACUUACUUAGACUUUUAGAUGAGAUGAUCACAUUCUAAUUACUACUACUUAAUGCUUAACUCAUUAACAUUUUCAACAUCUUGUGACUCAUGCAUUACCAAUUAAUCAACAGCAGACAAUAAUUGACUUUGCAUAUGCUACUAAAACUAGUAUUUAAUUUGAAGUGAUAAUAUCUAUCGUACAUUUACUGUUAAGUGCUACAGUGGCCUUGUGAUAAUUUAGUAUAAAUAUCCAUCGUCAGAAGUUAGUAACACAUCAUCUUAAGAAUUAUAAACUCCUUAAUUAAUUCAUAUUCUCUACAUUUCAACAUGGCUUCCAAAACAACUCACUCCUCAGUUACCCUUUUCCUAUCACUGAAUCUCCUCUUCUUUGCUCUUGUAACUGGACAACAAACGUGCCCAACUUUGAGACUUGGGGUAUGUGCUAGUAUACUUAACGUGGUGAAUGUAACAGUUGGGUCUCCACCAACUAUGCCAUGCUGCAGUUUGAUCCAGGGACUGACGGACCUAGAGGCCGCGGCUUGCUUGUGCGCUGCCAUAAGAGCAAAUGUUUUGGGAAUAAUUACUCUGAAUCCGACAGUCCCUAUUAACCUCAUUCUCAGCGCCUGUGGAAGGAGCCUUCCUGCUGACUUCACUUGUUAAACUACCCUCCUAAUAAAUAAAUAAAUGUCUCGUCGUGCUUAAUUAUUAAUUAGUAUGAAUUAAUGGUGCACGUAUGAUCGAUCCUUUUUAUUAGUUGAAAUAAGU
rnacentral:lncRNA from 1 species